UUCUGUUUAAAAAACACCAUGUAUGUUAUCCCAAUACUUGGCAGGUGAAGGCAAGAAGAUCAGGAGUUCCAGGCCAUCCUGGUCUAUAUGAAGUCAAUAAAAUAGAGUCAGGAGGAAGGAAGAAAAGAAGGGAGGGAUGGAUGGAUGCAUGGAUGCAUGGAGGAAUGGAAGGUGGGAGGGUGGAAGAACAAAUAAAAAAAACAAAGCCGGGGCUCAAGUGUGAGCAUUGUCAGGUGCCUCCAGCAUCUAUUGCCCCCUCUUCCUUGUAUUAAGGAAUGGCCCUGAGCUGAAACCACACACACCAUUGUCUAGCUCCAGGACAUACUCCAUGUCAUCUUGAAGAGAAAGGUAACCAUGGGUGAAAGUUUACACCAGCAGAAGGUAGAUGGAAGUAAGGAAAAGGAAAAGGCUGUCCCUUCUCUUUUGGGUUCCUGUCCCUUGGGUUGGAACACAGGUCAUGUGACUGGCAAGGAUCGAUUGCACUAAACAACAACAACAAAAAAGGAUAUGUGUAAGAAAAAGGGAAAGACUGAGGCCACAGCCGAGGAACAAGGGAUCUGUUUCUCCAGACGGCUUCAUGAAGCAAGACCACCGCCGUGCCAUCUUCUUUGAGAUAUCUCUGACGCAAAAAUGAAACGCGUUGUCUGAGCUCCCUAACAAUUCCAUGUGUCUGUGCUACGGUGGCUGUAUUAUUUAGUUAUUGCUAAGUAGAAAAUGACUCCAAAGUUCAGUGACUUAAAACAAAUACUUGAAGCUGGUGAGAUGGGUCAGUGAAUAAGGGCCCUUGUGGCCAAGCCUGUCAUCCUGAAUUUGAUCCCUGGAACCCUAAGGUAGAAGGAGACUACUGACUGCACUAUUUGUCUUCUGACCUCCUGGCCCCAUCCACAACACAAUAAUGACAAAAAUAGAGAUAGAUAGAUAGAUAGAUAGAUAGAUAGAUAGAUAGAUAGAUAGAUAAAUUUUAAGUGCUGAGCAUGGUACCAUAUGUCUUUAAUGGAGGCCAUAACUGGAUUGUAAGACUCUGCCUCAAAAACUACUGGUUAUUGUCUCCUGAUUUCCAUGGGUCAUCAUCUGCAGAGCACGCCUCCUUGACAGCCUCAGGAUCUCUCAGGAGGUGACAGCCAGCUCGGUGGUCACCACAACAGUCAGCAACAGCCAUUCAAGCUCCCUCUCAGGCUGCCGUCCGAGAGACAAGCCUAGCUCCUUACUGUGUGGCCUCUCCACAGGUCUUUAUGGCAUGGUACUGACUUCCCUAAGAGCAAACCAGAGUGACCAAGAAUUAGACUUUUUUUUUUUUUUUUUUUUUUUUAAAGACAGAGGGUUUCUAUGUGUGUCCCUGCCUGGCCUUGAACUCAGAGAUCCUCCUGCCUCUGCCUCCGGAGUGCUGGGAUUGAAGGCGUGCUCCACUCUACCUGGUUUAAAACCUUCUGUUCUGUCGUUGUUGUUUAUGAGACAGGCUUCCUCUAUGUAGCCCUGGCUCUCCUGGAAGUCAUUAUGCAACCCAAUUUGGCCUUGACCUCACGGAGACCUGUUUGCCUCCCACAUCUCGGAUUAAUCCUGAGCACUGGGAUUAAAGUCAUGAGCUAAACAGAUGACCUUAAGCUGGUAAAGGGGGAGAAUGUAGCAGGAGAGCUCUCUGUGGAACAGCCGAGUCUCACAUAGCUGUCACGAGCAAAGAGGGGCUUAACUUCUUCAAACUGUUUAACAGAACUGGAAGGCCAGAUGUUAUGAAACGCUAGUCACUGAAUUAUAAGGCAAUAAAUAAAACACCCCGGCUGUUGGACUCCAUGCUCCUCCAUCUCUGGUUCUUCCCUCCUUCUGUCUUUGCCUGGUGAAGUUUUGUUGUUUUUGCUUUUGUUUGGUUUUUUUUUAAGACGAGGCUUCUCUGUGUAGCCUUGGCUCUCUGGGAACUCAUUCUGCAGAUCAGCUCUUCCUCCAGAGCGCUGGGAUGGAAGAAGUGUGUCCCCAGCGCCCAGCUUGUUCUUAUCCUGUGUUUCUGUAUCUCCACCUUGCUACUUUCCUACACCUGUUUAUUUAUUUCCGUUAUUACUUUAUGUUAGGGAUGUUUUGCUUGCACACGUGUGCCUGCAUCGUGUGCGUGUCUGGUACCCAAGGAGGUCAGAAGAGGGCAUUCGAUCCCCUGGGGCUGGAAUUACAAAUGGUUGGAUACAAGGGGGUUCUGAGAAAUUGUACCCAGGUCCUCGGGAAGAGCAGCCAAUGCUCUUAACAGCCAAGCCAUCUCUCCAGCCCCUGGCUUUUGUUUUUGAGCCAAGGUCUCUCCACACAGGACAAGCUGCCUUUAAUUCAAGGUCUUUCUAUGUCAGCCUUCAAGAUACCGGCAUCACACACAUCCAUCGCCACACCUAGCUAGCACUUUUUAAACAUAUGUAGUCAGUGUCUGUUAGUUUUCUUCCUUGGCACUUUCAUGUAUGUGUAUGAUACAUUCUGGUUUCUCUCACUCCCACUCUGUGAAUGCACCUUUCUCCUUAAAGUCCCUUUGUCACGUGUGUGUCUCUGUGCUAGGUACCUCCUGGUCUACUCAACGGAGCCUUGAGGGCUCACCCUGUGGUGUGUAAGCAAAAACAAUGAUUGUAUCUAACCCAGAACCCACCAGCACCCAGUAGUUAAGCAGAGAUGGGUAUGGUCCUAGCAUUUUGUAUCCCUUUUCCUGACUCACUGUCUCUUACGUUCUUCCUGCCCACUCUUCCUCAAUGUCCUCUAACCUUAGAGGAGUAGGUACAGGUGCCCCCUUUGGGGGCUAACCACUGAGCUGCCACUUAUUCCCAGUACCUUGAGCAGCCAUGAGUUCAUUGUGAAGCCCACUGAAGACUGGGUGUAGCAUUUGUCUGUGGGUGUAAAUACAAAUAUUUCAAGGGCAGAUUGGCAUCAUGUUGCUUUAGCUAAAAAGGUGUGGUAAGUCCCCUCCUCGGGUCUUUCCCAGUCUGGCUUAUUUCAUUGUGGGGAAGGGGGGUUGGUUUCUAGCUCUAUUUAUUUUCCAACAAAUGUUACACCUUCAUUUUUGUUUAUGGCCGGAAAAAUCCCACUGUGUAUAUAUAGCAGUGCUGUCAUUUUUGAGUGUGGGCGAUAUAUGGGGAAAGGUCUUCAUAGUGAGUCCAAAGGCUUAUAUCAGUUUCUUAUCAAUGCUGUUAAGUUACCACGGUCUUGAUAGAUUAAUCAAUACACAUGAAUUGUUUUACAGCUUCAAGAACCUCGUGUCUGACAAAUCUCAUUGGACCUGUUUCUAGCAGGGACCCAUGGGUGCAGCGCUUGGAGCCCUCCUGAGGCCAGCAUAAUUGUAAGGUAGCUAGCUACCGAUCUUGUUCCAGACGCAUCUGCCUCCUUGGGCUCCCAAGCAGCAGUUUACUCUGAGCUGUGCUGUCGGUGGCACCUCCCAGCUGGGAUUAGUUACAGGGGUGAAGGAUUGGGCAAACAUUCCUCCCCUUCCCCAGAGAUAGCUAAGUCUCCCGAGGGCAGCUUCAAGGGCUUGAGUCAAUACUUCACAGGAGGAGGCUGGACACAAGAGAAGGAGCGGAUGACGAAACGGACUGGAGUCAGAGUGUUCCAGAGGGCUGUAGCUCAGUGAGCUGAAGGCACGGGCUGCCGCGUCUAACACCGUUGUCUGAAGUCCGAACAUCCAACUGCUCGAGGAGAGGGCAGAGGAAACUGGGUUUUGAACCUGUUUCUGUAGUGGACAUGCUGCUUUAAGUUCCUGUCUUGCCCAGGAAAUAGGCUGUGAUCUGGAAUGGCCAAUAGGCAUCCUUGUCCCUAAUAGUCUCUUGUCAAGAUGUUUCAUCAAAGCAACAGAAAGAAAACUAGAACAUUAGUAACAAUAUAUAAUCCAUUCUGGAAGAUAAUCUGGAAAUGCACUCUUCAGAAGUGAGAGUCAAAUUCUCAAGUUACUCAUCGUGAAAAGAAACACAGGUCACAGUCAGACUGAACAAAUAUGCCGGUGGCCACUGGAACAUGUUACUAGUAAUAUGCAGUUUAGACUUUGAAGAGAGACGACCAUUGUAUUGCACACUAUGCUGCUGGAAUCAUAGCCACAGUGGGUCCGUCUAUGAGCUUGAAUUAUUUAUAGUCAUCGUCAUCAUCAUCCUAGUCAUAGUCAUCAUCAUCAUCACCAUCAUCAUCUGUGCUGAUGGGGAUUAAAUAGAGGCUCUCUUCAAAAAAAAAUUUUAGACAAGUGUUCUACCACUUAGCCAUAUCACCAUCCAUUAUUUUUUAAUUACAUUUAAUUUUUUUGACACUUUUUAAAAAUUGAUUGUGACAAGUUCUGUGUAGUGAUGCCCUGCCUCGAUGUCUUAACGCCCCUGACUCCAUUCCCCAAGUACAAGGAUUACACACGAGUGCCCUACCAUACCUGGCGUUGGCUCAUGGCGCUAGUAGGGGACCAAUCCAUUUUGAUUAGAAUCAGCAUUGCUGCUGACGGCUUCUCUCUGUCCCUUUGAUAAAUGGGUGUCAGAGGAGACCACUUUGAAAUCUCAGCAGAUGAACCCGCUUUCCCCUCAUCUCACAGGUCUCCUGGAGAGGCGGGAUCUGGACAUUCUGAGGUGAGAAUUCUCACAAAUAAGGGCGAUGCCAGUACUGGAAAGGUCUAUGGGGUAAGUGGAAAUAUGACAGAUGCAGAAGGUUGGGAACAAACAGGUCUUGGUCGGAAAGGACCAGGUUAGAAGAGAACCAUGUGAGCUAGGUUCAAACCAGAGAACACUCUAUUGGUCUCAAGAGAUGGAGUAAGUUUAAUAAAAGAUGGGGCUAGAGCCCAUGGCCAUUCAGAUGCUAAAUCUUACCUAUGAAAUGACCACACUCAUCCUGUGGAAGUAACCAGAGCCACUGUCUGUAAACAGUACUUAGAGAUGGCGAGUGGAUGUGGGAUGCUGUGUUGGUUCCCAUCAGCCAAGAUGUUCAAGCGAGAGCUUGGUACUGCAUGGAGAAGGUGAGAGAGACAUAUGCACCUCUCCAACAGUAGAGGUGCAACCUGUGAAGGUGCCUCCCGGCUUUUGGUGAAGUAAGACACAGAAGUGAUGCCAGGACAUUAACUGGGACACUAGGACACUAAUCAUAUAGAAUUCACUCUGGAAGAUAAUCUUGGAACAUGCUCUUUAUUCAUAUAAACUCUAGAAACCACACUUUUCUGCCGGAAGUGAGAGUCACUUCCAACCUCUACGCUCUGCAGUGGCUACAUACUUUCAUAUACAAGUGACUUGAAAAUGUCUAGUUCAUACAUUUGUGAGAGUCUCUGUGUGUGUGUGAGCCUGUAUGGGUGUGUGUGUGUGUGUGUGUGUGUGUGUGUGUGUGUGUGUAGUUGUUGGCAUGUUACAGCAUGCACCUAUCUUGUUGGCCCCCUAUCUCCCCCUGUAUUUUUUACUAUCUCCCCCUCUGUCCCAUUUUUUCCAUUCUGACAGAUAUUAUCAGAAUAAAAGAGAACACAGUUUACUUUUUCGCUACAGUUGCGGUGGCUACCUCGAAGUUGAGAUCUUGGUUGUCUACAGUACUAAUGUUAUAUUCCUCUGAGGGGAAAUCUGGAAGGAUUUGAAGAGAAAGCAACUGUUCCUAAAUAUUUUGGCGCCUAAAGUAAGACACUUAGGAGUGAUCUUGAUUUAAGAUUAAUAUUCUGUUUCUUCAUUAUCCUGAGGGGACAGAGAGACCUAUCCUUGGAAGAUUAAAAAGUACCAUUAUGGUACCUCCAAAUAGCCGCAGACGUCAAGAUUUCGGUCCUCUGCUGCCCCCUUGUGGAUAACUUGGAAAUAGCAGCUCAAGCUUUCAUAAUGCUGUGUAAGAAUUGGAGGGUUGGGGAGCUAGAGAGUGAGCCUGGGGUUCCCGGAAGAGAGGAGUCAAACUGUUAAUGACGCCAAGACGCUUUCUUCUUUUUCACUUCUUUAUUUUUACUCCAGACGCAUGGUUUUCAGUGAGAAUAUGACCACCUAAAGACUCCAAGUCAUUAGACCCCAAGCAGCUCCGGUAGGGUGUCCUGUCACACACCUCCUCUUCCUGCAGUUGCACAGGGGGGUAGGUUUCUCCCUCUGGAUUGGUAACUUUCACACCACACCAUCACCAACUGACUGUGUUGUUUUCUGCAACCUGUACAAUCUUCCUUCACAUCCGUGUUGCUGGGUCCCUGACAUCCCCACUGCUCAGGUACUUCAGGGCAGUGGUCGUUUUGUUUGGAAAAGCGAGAGAGGGGGACACUUGAACACAAUGAGGGGAAGAGAUUCUGAGUCAUUUGGGCGUACCCUGCUGGAACGCGGGGAUAUCCUAAUCAUCGAGCCAUCCUCUACUUAGAGCCCCACUGCUUCCUGGUCAGCAGCCCCCACCGACCACAUUGCCCAACCUGGCCCUCCAUCCCCAUCCACAAAGAGCCACAGCGGUCUUGGGACUCUUCACUCUCCUGCCACUGGGGGAGGAUGGGUGGUAUGGCCUUUCUACUACCUGCCUCCCAGGUUUUCUCUUCCCAGCUGGGAGUCAGGAAACCACUCAGGGACCUGGCCUGAUCCCCUUC